UACGAAGGGGGCUAGCGUUGCUCGGAAUUACUGGGCGUAAAGCGCACGUAGGCGGCUUUCUAAGUCGGGGGUGAAAUCCUGGAGCUCAACUCCAGAACUGCCUUCGAUACUGGAGAGCUUGAGUCCGGGAGAGGUGAGUGGAACUGCGAGUGUAGAGGUGAAAUUCGUAGAUAUGGGGAGGAACACCGGUGGCGAAGGCGGCCACCUGGACGGUCACUGACGCUGAGACGCGAAAGCGUGGGGAGCAAACAGG
rnacentral:rRNA from 1 species